GGGGUGGGACCCAAAAUUUGGCACACUAUCGUCGAGCCUACGCUCCCCGAUAUCCAUCUUUUGACCUGCCCUGUCUGAACAUACCCAUGAUUUUGCGUACUAUUUGUUUCCUUGGUGGGCUUGCUCACCGCUAGGACAACUACACCCUUUUGUAAUUGCAGUCAGCGUCAGAAACAAAUAAUUAUUACAACUUUCAACAACGGAUCUCUUGGUUCUGGCAUCGAUGAAGAACGCAGCGAAAUGCGAUAAGUAGUGUGAAUUGCAGAAUUCAGUGAAUCAUCGAAUCUUUGAACGCACAUUGCGCCCCUUGGUAUUCCAUGGGGCAUGCCUGUUCGAGCGUCAUUUGUACCCUCAAGCUCUGCUUGGUGUUGGGUGUUUGUCUCACUUAACGUGUAGACUCGCCUUAAAGUUAUUGGCAGCCGGCAUAUUGGUCUCGGAGCGCAGCACAAGUCGCGCUUUGUACCAUACUUGUUGGCGUCCAGCAGCCCAUACAUUUGCUCUUGACCUCGGAUCAGGUAGGGAUACCCGCUGAACUUAAGCAUAUCAAUAAGCGGAGGAAAAGAAACCAACAGGGAUUGCCCUAGUAACGGCGAGUGAAGCGGCAACAGCUCAAAUUUGAAAUCUGGCUCUUUCAGGGUCCGAGUUGUAAUUUGCAGAGGGCGCUUUGGUGUUGGCAGCGGUCCAAGUUCCUUGGAACAGGACGUCACAGAGGGUGAGAAUCCCGUACGUGGUCGCUACCCUUCGCCGUGUAAAGCCCCUUCGACGAGUCGAGUUGUUUGGGAAUGCAGCUCUAAAUGGGAGGUAAAUUUCUUCUAAAGCUAAAUACUGGCCAGAGACCGAUAGCGCACAAGUAGAGUGAUCGAAAGAUG
rnacentral:rRNA from 1 species